GAUGAACGCUGGCGGCGUGCCUAAUACAUGCAAGUCGAGCGAACAGACGAGGAGCUUGCUCCUCUGCCGUUAGCGGCGGACGGGUGAGUAACACGUGGAUAACCUACCUAUAAGACUGGGAUAACUUCGGGAAACCGGAGCUACUACCGGAUAAUAUAUUGAACCGCAUGGUUCAAUAGUGAAAGACGGUUUUGCUGUUACUUAUAGAUGGAUCCGCACCGCAUUAGCUAGUUGGUAAGGUAACGGCUUACCAAGGCGACGAUGCGUAGCCGACCUGAGAGGGUGAUCGGCCACACUGGAACUGAGACACGGUCCAGACUCCUACGGGAGGCAGCAGUAGGGAAUCUUCCGCAAUGGGCGAAAGCCUGACGGAGCAACGCCGCGUGAGUGAUGAAGGUCUUCGGAUCGUAAAACUCUGUUAUUAGGAAAGAACAAAUGUGUAAGUAACUAUGCCCGUCUUGACGGUACCUAAUCAGAAAGCCACGGCUAACUACGUG
rnacentral:rRNA from 1 species